rnacentral:piRNA from 1 species
UCAUUACAAAUGAGGAACUAGGCUCAGG